rnacentral:rRNA from 1 species
GUGGGGAAUAUUGGACAAUGGGCGGAAGCCUGAUCCAGCCAUGCCGCGUGUGUGAAGAAGGCCUUUUGGUUGUAAAGCACUUUAAGCGAGGAGGAGGCUCCUUUAGUUAAUACCUAAAGUGAGUGGACGUUACUCGCAGAAUAAGCACCGGCUAACUCUGUGCCAGCAGCCGCGGUAAUACAGAGGGUGCGAGCGUUAAUCGGAUUUACUGGGCGUAAAGCGUGCGUAGGCGGCUUUUUAAGUCGGAUGUGAAAUCCCUGAGCUUAACUUAGGAAUUGCAUUGGAUACUGGAAAGCUAGAGUAUGGGAGAGGAUGGUAGAAUUCCAGGUGUAGCGGUGAAAUGCGUAGAGAUCUGGAGGAAUACCGAUGGCGAAGGCAGCCAUCUGGCCUAAUACUGACGCUGAGGUACGAAAGCAUGGGGAGCAAACAGGAUUAGAAACCCGUGUAGUCC